AGUGAACGCUGGCGGUAGGCCUAACACAUGCAAGUCGAACGGCAGCACAGUAAGAGCUUGCUCUUACGGGUGGCGAGUGGCGGACGGGUGAGGAAUACAUCGGAAUCUACUUUUUCGUGGGGGAUAACGUAGGGAAACUUACGCUAAUACCGCAUACGACCUACGGGUGAAAGCAGGGAACUUUCGACCCUUGCCGAAUUAAUGAACCGAUGUCGGAUUAGCUAGUUGGCGGGGUAAAGGCCCACCAAGGCGACGAUCCGUAGCUGGUCUGAGAGGAUGAUCAGCCACACUGGAACUGAGACACGGUCCAGACUCCUACGGGAGGCAGCAGUGGGGAAUAUUGGACAAUGGGCGCAAGCCUGAUCCAGCCAUACCGCGUGGGUGAAGAAGGCCUUCGGGUUGUAAAGCCCUUUUGUUGGGAAAGAAAAGCAGCAGGUUAAUACCCCGCUGUUCUGACGGUACCCAAAGAAUAAGCACCGGCUAACUUCGUG
rnacentral:rRNA from 1 species